rnacentral:rRNA from 1 species
AUGCAGGACAAAUGGAAAUCAAAUUUAGAUGAGUAUGAAGUACACACUGCAAGUGAUGGGUCUGAAUCAGAUGACAGUGACUAUGCUAUUCCCCCAGCAGAGAGCAAUAGCUCAGCAUCUGAUGAUGAAGUGCUAGAGUUGAGGAAAUAUGCUAAAGAAUUGAAGGAGAAAGUCAGAAAGAACAUGCUGAGAGAAGAGGAGGGCAAACCAUGCAAUGUGCCUGAAGAAUUUAUUAUCCCAGAAACAUUUAAGCUAGAUGAUUCAGAUGGAGAAGGAACACCAUAUUUCGAAAGUGAUGAUGACUUGUCAUAUGAUGAAGGCUGUGAUGGAGAGGUAAAUGAAGUGAGAAGAAGGAAAACAACACACAGAGUUUUUGAUGACAGUACUGACAAACCAGAAUUUGCUGUCGGCAUGGCAUUUCAAGAUAGCAGGGAGUUCAAACAGGCACUGGUUAAGUAUGGGCUAGCAAAUUUCCACCAUUUAAGAUUUCCAAAAGAUGAAAAGAAAAGAGUCAGUGCAGAGUGUUCCUGGCCUGGUUGUCCUAGGAGCAUUUAUGGUUCCAUUACUAGCAGGUCUGAUUGGUUGCUAGUUGUGAGGUAUACAAAUGAGCACACAUGCAUUCCUAGGAUGGACAACAAGCUUGUUUACAAGCACAGUCAUUGCCAAAAAGUAUUUCAGACAGAUCAGACACAAUCCUACUUGGCAUGUAGAGCAUAUGCAGGAGGCGGUACUUGA